ensembl:snRNA U6 U6 spliceosomal RNA
AUGCUCAUUUUGGCAGCACAUAUACUAAAAUUGGAAAAAUAUAGAGAAGAUUAGCAUGACCCCUGUGCAGUGAUGACAUGUGAAAUCAUGAAGUGUUUCAUAUUUAA